GCUUCUUCAUCCACGCAUGUUCUCCAGCUGACACAUGCUGGGAAACUGCUACUGAGUGGCUUCACAACUCUGAACACUCUGACGUUCUUCCUAGUCCCUGUAUGGCUAAAGCAUCCCAAAGUGUACCUUAGCCUGGCUGGGGAAAUUACCUUUGAGUGCCCAGCCCUUUCCAGAGGACAGCCUUUCUUGCUACCUAAGCUUGAAGCCGAGAAGGAGGCAUCCCUGAGUGAGGAGGAACCUGAUUGGUUCAACAAGGAGGGAGUCUAUGAGAAAGACCUACCCCUGGUAGAUCUGUGGAAUGCCUCAGAUUUUCAUUGCACCAGGCGCUCUGCUGGGCGACUGCAGACCCUGGAGUAGGUCUGCCAGCUAAUCCAGAUCGUGAUGAACAACCGGACCCAGCUGUGGUGGAGAAAACAUCUCCACAUUGACCU